CGCGUGCGCAUAACGCGCGUGGGUCCUAAAGUAGUGGUGUUUCGUGAGUUAUCCUUGCAAAUGGGCACCGUGGCCUAGCGCCCCAGGCGUUUCCAUCCGUAACCUUGCACCGAAACCUGCUAGGAGGGGUCUCCGCCGAGCGCCUCGGCCCUGAAGCAUGGCAGCUAUCCCUUCCAGCGGCUCGCUCGUGGCUACCCAUGACUACUAUCGGCGUAAGUAGCCCCUCGCCAGCCCCGCCCAGGGCUGGCCCAGGGCUCUGUGGCUGACCCGCCUCCCCUUCCCAGGACGUCUGGGCUCCUCGUCCAGCAACAGCUCCGGCGGAAGUGCAGAGUACCCGGGGGACGCCGUGCCCCACUCCCCGGGUCUUCCCAAAGCUGACUCGGGCCACUGGUGGGCCAGCUUCUUUUUCGGGAAAUCCACCCUCCCAUUCAUGGCCGCAGUGUUGGAGUCUCCUGAGCACUCGGCAGAAUCCCCCCAGGCCUCCAGAAGCCCGAUCUCCUGUGGCCUGGCUCCUGAAACCAUGAAGAAGCAGCCAGUCAUGCAUCCUAGCCAGACCAACAGCAGGGCCCCGUCCUGACCUGUCAGAAUCAGCAGACUGCCCAAGUUUAAGUGGUGCUAGACCAGAGCCCACCCUCUCAACCCUCCCUGUAAACUAGGAAGGCUAAACAGACAUGAGCAGGAGCUGGAGAGAGCCUAUUAGUUUACAGCACUGAGCUUUCCUGACCCCAUAACUGUGUCUUCCACAAAGCAGAAAAUAAACUCACAGCAGCCAUCCUC
rnacentral:lncRNA from 1 species